rnacentral:rRNA from 1 species
AGAGGGUGCAAGCGUUAAUCGGAAUUACUGGGCGUAAAGGGCGCGUAGGUGGAUAAUUAAGUCAGAUGUGAAAUACCCGGGCUUAACCUGGGAGCUGCAUAUGAUACUGGUUAUCUAGAGUACAGUAGAGGGUGGUAGAAUUUCCGGUGUAGCGGUGAAAUGCGUAGAUAUCGGAAGGAAUACCGGUGGCGAAGGCGGCCACCUGGACUGAUACUGACACUGAGGCGCGAAAGCGUGGGGAGCGAACAGGGAUUAGAUACCCUGGUAGUCCACGCCGUAAACGAUGAGUACUAGCCCGUUGGAAUCAUAGAUUCUAGUGGCGCAGCAAACGCGCUAAGUACUCCGCCUGGGAGUACGGCCGCAAGGCUA